rnacentral:rRNA from 1 species
GUGAGAAUCUUGUCCACCGAAAGCCUAAGGGUUCCUGAGCAACGAUCGUCGACUCAGGGUAAGUCGGGACCUAAGCCGAGGCGUAGAGCAUAGGCGAUGGACAACUGGCGAAGAAUCCAGUACCACCAAAAGUCGUUUGAGUGAUGGAGUGACACAGAAGGGAAGUUAAGCGCGAGGAUGGAAAGUCGCGUCUAAGCUGGUAGGGUGUACUGCAGGCAAAUCCGCAGUAUGAGAGCCUGAGAAGUGAUGGGUAGC